AUCUGGCUGGUUCAGUUGAAAGAGCAUGUGACUCUGGAUCUCAGAGUUGUGGGUUCGAAUCCUACGUUGGGUG
rnacentral:tRNA from 1 species